ACCACACCUCAAGUUAUUCAAUUCAAGCUUUCACAAUGGCCUGCAAGAUAGCACUAGUAGUCGUGUCUCUAUCGGUGUUAGCAUUCUUCCUAUGCCUUGGUAAGUAAAUGGUCCAUGGUUUCACGGUUUUAUGAAAAGUUAUACUCUCUCUCUCUCUCUCUAAUGGGCCCGUUUUGAAAUUUACAUUAGGUACUGCCGAAGCUGACCCGCAGUGCAUGUUCAAGAUCAACCCUUACUAUCAUGGUGGGUGCAAGAUAGAUUCUGAUUCUGACAUAGAUUAAAAUAGCCCGCGAAAUAGCCACGAUAGCUGCGCUAUAGCUGCCGGGAGCCUCGCCGCUAAGCUAUGGCUGCUGCCGCGAAAUCCUCUACAUAUCCUCUAAAUAGCUCAAAAAUCAGCAAAACCCUCCAAAAUCAUCUCUCCCACCAGAAAAAUUUCCGCUAUUUGCCGCGAUUGCCCGCUAUGGUGGCCGCAAUAGCUGCUGGGAGAGGCCGCCGCGAAAUCGUUUCUCCGGCGAUCUUAAUCUAUGGAUUCUGAUAACGAGAAAUGUCGAAUUGCUUGUACCAGGUUUGAGGGACCAACGUACAGAGAUGGUGUAUGCACUAAUGAACUAUGCUUCUGCUCUAACUGUUAAUGAUCAUCGGACUCUUCCACCGGUGGGGGUGCCAUGAAGAUACAUCACCACCAUGGAAAGAUUAGAGCUCCUAGGAAGAUUGCUUUCUUAUUGUUGUAUGAGAAUAAAUUGGCGAUGUAUCUGAAUAUACUUUAGCAAGUAUACGUUUCCGAUGAGUUUCAAUGAACAGUUUCCAAUCGAUUUAAAAUUUUC
rnacentral:lncRNA from 1 species